ACCUACACCCCAUGCGCGCUGACCUCCGUCAGCACCAUGCCCAGGCAGCUUCGGUCUUCAAAGCUGCGGCGCGGUUCUUCCGCGUUGACCGAUCCAGUCCGCUUCGCAUCGCUCCUGCGGACGAUCGCCAUGUCCUGGCGACGAUGC
rfam:Thioalkalivibrio sulfidophilus HL-EbGr7, complete genome.